AUUAAGUUGGAUUUGGCUUUGCUUUUGUAUGAACCCAAGGCACUGGAGCUGUUCUAAAGGCUUCCCAUGAAUCAUCUUAACACACUGGUGAGCUCAAUGCACCACUCAAUCAUCUUUCUUCCAGUGCAUCUAGGAAUUUCAUCUGGGAAAUUAAUGUCUGAUCCUACUAGGGAAAUUUGAAACAACCACUAUAAAAUGCUAAAAUCCCCCCCUCCCUGAAUGAUUUAAUGGACAGUGCAUAUGCAUGAAGUUUAGAACAGAUCUGCCCAAUAGGACUUUUUGAAGGAUGGAAAUGUUCCAUAUCUGGACUGUCCAAUAUGGUAACCAGUAGCCCCAUAUGGGCACUGAGAAAAUGAAUUAUAGCUGUUACAACUGGGGAACUAGAUUUUAAACUAUGUGAGUUUUUUCUUUUUAUUUAAUAUGAAUUAGAACAAUUCUAUUGAACUAAAAUUUACAUACCACACAAUUUACAAAUGUAAAAUGUAGGAUUCAAUAGGUUUUAGGACAUUGACAGAGUUGUACAACUAUACUACAAUCAAAUUUAAGUUAUUUUUGAUAUCCCAAAGCAAACCACUGUAUCCACUAGCUAUGAUCUCUCAAUUUCUCCCCUCUACAUCUAGGCAACUGAGAAUAGCACUGAGCUGUUCUUUACCAUCACAGAUUUUCCUAUUCUGGAAAUCUCUUUUUUGUUGUUGUUGUUCAAAAUAGACUAUGCUUAUAACAACGAUAAAGAUCUAAACUAUGCAAAAUUUAAUCAUUUUAAAUUUAAAAUUAAAUUUGGCCAUAAUCUCUACAAAUUACAUGCAUUAGAGCCUGGUAAACAUGAUAAGAUACUGAAUAAAUCCCACUAGUGAGGAAAAUGUGGUAACAUUUUCAGAAAAGUUAUAACUAUUCAUUCAAUUAUUUUCUCUAGCCCCCAAGACUAGUAACAUCUUUGUAAGUUGCAUUUGAUCUUACUUCUGUUGGUCUGAAUCCUAUAUCCCAGCAAAGAGAUGAAAGGAAAGAAAAUGCUAACUCAUAAAGUGAUGCAUUUAGGCUGAGGUUUGGAGCAAGACAACGAGCAGAACAACCUGAAUUGUUUCGAGGCAGUCCAUGAGCUAGGCAACAAGAAGUUACCAGGUGUGAGAAUGGGAACACCUGGCAAAACAGUGCCGAUCCUCAUUGUGAGCAGAGCCAGUGCUCUGGCAUUCCUUCCUUCCUUCCUUCAUCUAUUCAUCCAACAGUGACGAAGUCUCUACUCCAGAUACAUCAUAUCCUGGGAUAAUGAAAAGAUUCGUGGAAACUCAAAAGAUCAAGAAGAUCCACUGAAUCAGAAACUAGGAAUGCAGUACAGCAAACUAGAUUUUAACCAAGGCUUCUAUGGGAUUCUGGUGCUCGUGAAGGUUGGAGAGUCCUUGUCCUACUACCACUCCUUGGAUUCUCAUUGGUAAAAGCUGGAGAUCUUUCUCAGCCCGAGGCUCUGGGGAAGAUUCCUGGAGCAUGAGCUCCUCUUAGGAAACGAAGGUGGGACCCAGCAUUUUUGGGAAUUGCAACCCAUUGAAUAGAAGAAUUCAGGAGCUCUAGAAUUUUUUCCUAGCAAGGAGCAAGUUGAAGAUGGACUUACAGCCCUUUACUGAGUGCCCAGUGCUGGCUGCUAGAUUUCCCAAUUUCUGAUGACCUGAAUGGAGGGAGGAAAUGUGGUUAAGGAGUUUAAUCCCAACCCAGCCACUGACUGUGUGAUUUGGACAGUUGGUUCUCACUGCCUGGCACCCUCAUCUAUAAACAGGGAGAAUCAAAUUUGUGAAUGCAGAUCGGGAGCUGUCAUCAAUGUCAAAGGAAGGGACAAGGAUAUCAAAGUAUAUGUAAUCCCAGCUUCUCUUCUUCCUAGGAGGAUUUUGUAUUUCAGAUUUUUUUGCUCAGAGUAAGAUUGCAGAAAAAAGGAAAUGAGACUACUACAGAAGAACAUUAUGGAGCCGAAGUUGUAGAAGAGAUGAAGAGGAAGGCUAGUAUUUGAAGGGACCAGAGCAGCAGAGAGGCUGAAAGCAUGAUGGGAGCUUUGGGGAGGACAGUAGAGAGCCUUUUAGGCAGUUUGCUUUGUGCUGUGUGAAAUGAUUUUCCCCUGGUUUCCUCUGCAAAUGACUUCAGGAAAACACUGGCUCAAGGAUCUUGAGGUCAGAUGUACUAUAUGAUGUCUUUGCAUUGGGUAUUAGCCUCAAAGCUCUGGCAAUAAGGCCUACCUAAAUUCAACAACCUUCUUAUUUGCUAACAAAAUCAAUCUAAGCCUUGUAGAUCUGUCUGGGGGUUACAGUUGUCCAAGAUCAGCCCUUUCUCAUUGUCCAUCUCCUCAAUUUAUUUUUCAAUUUUUAACAAUAAAUAUGGACCACUUAUAAAAGAUUAUUUGAAACAUUUCCAGGCCAGGGUCAACCAGUUGCUCAUCAGUGACAGGAGAUGGAGCAAAGUUCUGAGGCAAGACGCACUUUACACACUGGGUCACACAGAAGAAAUGGCUGGGGAAGAUCUAUGUCAAACCUGGAUGUGUGGCCUUGCUGUAGAUUGCUGGCAAUGAAUGUUGCCAUGGUCUGCAAAGGCCUGCAGGGAGAGGAGUUUACAGGAUCAGCUCAGAAAGAUUGCUAGGCACAGGUGGGUUUUUUUUUUUUUUUUCAAAAUCCCAUCCAAAAGCAUUUACUUUAAUAAAUAUACUGAGAUGAAAUAAUAAUCAUGUCACUGGUGCAUAAGAAGGAUAAUAAGAUAUUAAUAUACAGCCCAAAUAAAUUCAACUCCCUUUGAGAGAAAUAGCUAACUUGCCAAUAUGUAUGAAUCAAUUUAACUUACAAAGGGAGAAGAGUUGUUCGUUGGAGUACACUGAGAGUAGUGAUUAAUAGACUGCCAAUUCUAAUAUGAAUUUUGUUUCUGUCCCAGGGAGGGUUUAAAAUUCAUUGUAUUUUUAGGCAUACAAUUCUUCUACACCUAUUUUUUUUCAAUUUUAAACUUUAUAGGUUCUCUCUGUGAAAAAAGAAAAAAUGAGGGAAGGGUUGAAAGUGAAAUGUAAAACCUUGCAAACCUUCCUUUUUAAUGUGUGUAAGCAUAUAAAUACUUAGGCAUUUAAAUAGUAAGAUUAUGUUUUACACAUUGUGUUUGUAACUUGGGGUUUUUGAUGCUCGUUAAUUGAUUUAAUAGCUUUUUCCUGAGUAUCUAUUAGGCCCAUGGCAUUUUAUUAGGCUCUGAGGGGUAGCAUGGGGCUAUUCUCAGAGGUCAGAGUUUAGGGGAGGAGGAAAGAGAAUAAGUAGGUAAAUAAGCAUACAGUUGUAAACACAUACACAAUGUCUACUGUAUACAUUAUGUAAUUACGCUUUUCAAAGCACGCUGAUAGGAAGGAGAAGAAGUGGGAGGCAGAACAAUGAGCAGGUUAUAUUCAGUAAAAGGAGCCAUGGAUACUGCUCUGAGAAGGUGACACAGAAGGCAGGACCCAAGGACAAGUCACAAGACAGCCUUAGCGCAAGAAGGUAGAGUUUCAAUCAGAUAUGUUACACUAAAUAAAAACCCAAUUUGGCUGACACUACACCUCCCUUGCAAAAGAGGAAACUGAGGCUCAGGGAGUCUGAGGAGCCUUUUCAAAGCCACACAUUAACUUCUGCAAGAGUUCGCAUAGGUUUUAUGUUCAGUCAUCAAGUUGCUAAACAAUUGAGCUUUAUCCCAAAGCUUCAAUGGUAGACUUCAAGUGGAAUGCAUUAUCUGCUUAUAAAAGUCACACUGAUUAUUGUCAACUUUAUCAUCAUUGUCAUUGUCACUGUCAUCACCAUCAGCAGCAGCUAAAGCUAGCAAAGGCUCUACUAGCCAUGCAGGAGCCAGCAGCACACAAAAAGCCAAACUCCCUCUUGCCUAUGACCCAUCUGUCAGUGGAGCCCUCUGUGAAUGGAUGCUGGAUGCCGGUGAGCAUUUGCAUUUGGUUGUUCAUUCCACAUUUUUGCCCUUUCAGCCCUUCCCAUAAGCAUGUAUAAGGGAUACAAAGCCAUUUUAAUGCACAAAUGGCCAGGGGGUGCCUCUGGUUUUGGUAUCUAUUUAUAUCCAUAUAGCCAGAUGGAAAUCUAUCCUUAAGGUCCUAACAUGCACUAUUAAAGGAGAAAAACAAAAGCCACCAGGUCAAAGCAUGAGUCCCAGUGGGAAGUUAUUAGGAUCAUGGUGGUAUUACUCCAAGUCUGGUCCAUCAUUAUACAUGAAUCGUCAGUGCAUAUUGGGUAAGGCAAAGGGGAGCAGAGCAUUCCACUCUGAGGCUGUAUGUAUGCAUGUGUGUGUGUGUGUGUGCGCGCGCGCGCAUGUGUGCAAUUUUUUUACAGAACCAUAAUAAUGGGAAUUUAUUGAUCAUCUGUAUAUGCCUAAACCUUUGAAGAAGGCAGUAGGUUUAAAUAGAAUAAAGAGAACAAGCUGGAGUUUGAAGGUCUAUAUCAAGAAUGUUUGAGAUUCAUUCCUAAAACUUACUAUAUAAGCAAUUCUAAUAACAUAAAUGAUAUUAAAUAUUUAAGAAUGUAAAGAAUUGGAGAAGAUUACCUUUAUCAGGUAAGCAUUCCAAUGGAGAAAUUUAGGCAACUUUUAUUAAUUAAAUUUCUUAAAGUCUUAUUUUUUUUCUGUGACUCUUAGCUAAGCAGUUAGCUGAGUGCAUAGUAGGAUAUAAAUAAAAAUAAAUAGUAAUAACUUUUUAUGAAGGGGAAAAACCCAGUGAGUUUACAACUGUGUUGAGAUUUCUUGCCUCAAAUCUUCCACAAAAUUUUGUUAAGAAAUCUAUUUCAGACCACUGCUGAUUUAUAGAGUCCUUUCUCCUAUUGUAAUUUAUUUCUCCUUUCUCCAUGUUUAAGUGGUAUGGAAUAUCUAUGAAGAAUUGAAAUAAGCACACACAUCAUUAUGUUCAUUUCUAAUGCAUUAAAACUCAGCU
ensembl:lncRNA